rnacentral:rRNA from 1 species
GUGCCAGCCGCCGCGGUAAUACGGAGGGUGCAAGCGUUAAUCGGAAUUACUGGGCGUAAAGCGUGCGUAGGUGGUUUCUUAAGUCAGAUGUGAAAGCCCCGGGCUUAACCUGGGAAUGGCAUUUGAUACUGGGUGACUAGAGUUUGGGAGAGGCAAGUGGAAUUUCAGGUGUAGCGGUGAAAUGCGUAGAUAUCUGAAGGAACACCAGUGGCGAAGGCGACUUGCUGGCCUGAAACUGACGCUGAGGUACGAAAGCAUGGGUAGCAAACAGGAUUAGAUACCCCAGUAGUCC